CGCUCACAGCUCCUUCUCGUUUUGGU
rnacentral:piRNA from 1 species